rnacentral:tRNA from 1 species
ACCUUUCUAGUAUACUAAUUACAAUUGACUUCCAAUCACUAAAAUCUGGCACAANCCCAGAGAAAGGUA